AAAUAUGGCCUUACAUAAUUUUAGUCUUGUGACCUGGUAGGAAAUACAUGUGGUGCACACAUGUUGGUCUAGACUGGAAUCAGAUGAAGUAAAUUAGGGGUCAUGGAAGAUUGCAAAGGGUCCAAUAAGUGGGGCAAGUUCCCUCUUAGAUAAUGCAAGAAUUGCAUUCGUAACAGGUACCCUUUGAUUGCGGAUGAGAUGUUGAAGAAGGGGCAUGUAAAUGCCCCAAAUGUAGGAAGGAGUGCAACUGCAGCAUGGGCUAGUGAGCAAUUUGAAGAUGAUGCUUGCCAUGGGGGAUUUCAUAUUUUUGUUCUUGUGAUGGAUCUCUUCAUCUAAUUUUAUUUGGUAGAACUGGGAAAGGGGAGGUGCCGACGGGGAGAAUGGUCUGUACUACCAAGAGGCCGAUGGUCAACCUGGUGUGAACUAAGAGAAAUGAUGCUCUCAAGGGUGAAAUACCCGUACCCAAGGGUAUUCUCAUGACUUGUCUUGCAGGUAUAGAGCUGUAAUUUGAAGAUAUUGGUGCUCCUAUUCAAUUUCUAGAGUUCUGACACUGAUUUGGCGAGGUAAUUAUGGAAAGCAAAUAGUAAUAUGUUUUAUGUACUGUUUCGUGUUGCAUUGGGUCAUUGAUGCAUAUAGUCCCCAUUUUUGAAUCUGAUCUGCUUUAGCUAGCUAUGGUUAGUUAUGUUGUGUGAGAAUGUUGUUGAGCUAAAAAAUAUGUUGUCUUCUUAUUGCUUUUGUCUUGUUAAUACAAAAUAGAUCAUCGACUUGAGGGGCAUAUUGUUUUUUAUUUCUCAAUUUAUAAUCUAAUGAAAGUUUAUUACGAGUUUAUUUUAUAAUCUCGCACCAAACUUGGUAUAUGUUUCCCUAAAUGAAAAUGCUUAAUUGUUCGUAGCUGCCUGCUUGCUUUUGGAGACCUUAUCUUCUGUAUUAUAAACAGAAUAAUGUACCAAUUGAUGUAAGAAGAUCUACAAAAUAAGGAAGGCGCAACAAGAAGAAACUCUCAGAGACUUAACUCUAUUUGAAGAGGUCUCUUGAGUUGUUGUUGACCUUCACAUAAAGUUGUUGUCUGUCAUAGAAAAGGGCAAAGGUAUGUAAGUAUACUCCAAACUACUAUUACCUUGUUGUUUUUUCCAUGCAUUCAAUAACUCGGUAGAUGAGGUUAUUUUUUCCUUAGCCCUUUCAUGUAUCCAAGACAUGGAGAUGAAUGGAUAAGAAAAGUCGGCGAGUACAUCACUUUGGUAUUACAUAUAGAAGGUCUCACCUUUCCCUGCUUAAAUCGGGGGGUAUCAGGAUAUAAACAUUUGAACCCUUCUUGUAAGUUCGAGGUGUUGUAUUGUCCGUGUGAUGAUGCAUUAUCUUCUGAGUAAGUACAUGCUAUCAUAUUUGCUGGAGUAGUUCACUUCACUACUGUCAUAUUAAUUAUCUUGUUAGUUUGUUUAGAAAGUUGAGGACCUGGAUUGGCAUUAAUGAUAGGGUAUGUGUGACCAGAGAAAAAAAUCAAAGCUACAACCAGAAAAGUAUUUAUCUUCGGAAGUUCCUUUUUUAUGGUCAAGUCACUUGGUUGACAUUAAUGAUCAUAGGUUUUGUCUUGUUUCCUAGGCAAAGGAGCUAAAAGGAAGAUAUAACGACAUGGCUAAAACAAUGGAAGGAGGAGAAACUGCUAGCAAUGACGAAGCUAAUAAUAUCCUUUCUCAAAUAAAGGAAGCACAGAAGAAGUCAAGCAGGUAGUACGGAAUGGUCUGUGUAGUAUGGCUUGAUAUAUCUUCAUUGCCUGCGUUGAAUUUGUUUAGCUUGGUUCACCUGUGCAGUUCUAAGUCUAUUUGAUAUCUUUCACUUUUGAAUGGUGUACUAUCGGCAAUAUGAAAUAAUAUAAUAAACAAAAGUGGAAGAUAUCAAAUAGAUUUAGAACCGAAUAGAUGAACCAAGAUAAAUAAAUUGAACACAGUAAAUGAAGAUAUAUUAAGCCAUACUUCCAUAGACCAUUCCGUACUGCCUACUUGACUUCUUGUGCUUCCUUUAUUUGAGAAAGGAUAUUAUUAGCUUCCUCAUUGCUAGCAGUUUCUCCUCCUUCUAUUGUUUUAGCCAUGUCAUUAUAUCUUCCUGUUAGCUCAUUUUGCUAUGACACAACACCAAACCUAUGAUCAUUAAUGUCAACCAAGUAUUGAACACAAAAAAGGAACUUCCCAAGAUAAAUACCUUUCUAGUUGCAACUUUGAUUAUUCUCUCGCCACAGAUUCUCUAUCUUUAAUGCCAUCCAGGUUCUCAACUUUCUGAACAAAGUAACAAGAUAAUUAAUUUGACAAUAGUGAAGAGAACUACUCUAGCAAAUAUAAUACCCUGUACUUACUCAAAAGAUAAUGCCUCGUCACACACACAAUUCAGCACCUCCAGCUUACGAGAAGGGUUCAAAUUUUUAUAUCCCGAUACCCCCUGAUUUAAGCAACGAAGGGUGAAAUCUUUUGUAUGUAACAUCAAAGUGAUGUACUCGCCGACUUAUCUUAUCCAUUCGUCUCCAUGUCUUGGAUACUCAAAACGGCUAAGAAAAAAUAACCUCAUUUACCCAGUUAUUGAUCACAUGGGCAAAACAACAAGGAAAUAACAGUUUGGAGUAUACAUACAUAUCUUUGCAAAUUUCUAUGACGGACAACAACUUUAUGUGAAGUCAGCAACAACUGAAGACACCUCUUCAAGUUGAGUUAAGUCUUUGAGAGUUUGCUCUAGUUGCCCCUUCCUUAUUUCUCAUAUCUACUUACAUCAUUUGGUACAUUAUUCUAUUUAUAAUACAGAAGAAAAGUUCUCUAAAAGCGAGCACGCGGCUAGGAACAGUUAAACUUUUUCAUUUAUGGGAACAUAUACCGAGUUUGGUACGAGAUUAUAAAAUAAACUGUAAAUAAACUUCCCUUAGAUUAUAAAGCAAGAAAUCAUAAACAAUAUGCCCCUCAAGUUGAUGAUCUAUUUUGUGUUAACAAGAUAGAAGUAAUAAGAAAACAACAUAAUUUUUAGCUCGACAACAUUCUCAGAGAACCUAACUAACCAUAACUAGGUAAAGCAAACCAGAUUUGGAAAUGAGGAGUAGAUGUACCAAUUAUCCAAUGCAACACAAAAUUGUAAGUAAAACAUAUUACUAUUUGAUUUCCAUAAUUACCACGCCAAAUGAGUGACAAAACACUAGAAAUUGAAUAGGAGCACCAACAUCUCAAACUACAACUCUAUCCUUGCAAGGCAAGUCACGAGAGUACCCCUUGGUACAACUAUUUCAUCCUUUAAAGCAUCAUUGUUCUUAGUUCGCACUAGGUUAACCUUCGGCCUCUUGGUAGCAUGGACCAUUCGCCCCAUCGGCGCCUCCCCUUUCCUAGUUCUGCCAAAUAAACCAGAUAAAGAGAUCCAUCAAUAAGAACAAAAAUCUGAAAUUCCCUAUGUCAAGCAUUAGCUUCAGAUUUCUCACCAGCGCAUGCUGCAAUUGCACUUCUUCCUACAUUUGGGGCAUUCUCAGGCCUCCUUCUUCAACACCUCAUCCGCAAUCAAAGGGUACAUGUUAAACAAAGAGAACAUCAAUAAACAAACCCAAACAGGAUUGCCAACCACGGGCUCUAUGAAAAAGCAGACAGGAAAUUAUUUUACCGAUUAUGAAUGCAAUUUCGUGCAUUAUCUAAGAGGGCACUUUCCCCUCUUAUUGGAGACUUUGCAAUCUUCUGUGACCCCUCUUUUUCUCUGAUAGCACUGAGGAAUAGCAAAACAGACAAAAAAAAUGAAACAAGCGACCAUUUCUAUUUUUA